rnacentral:piRNA from 1 species
UAGCAAAAAGAGAAUAGGAGCAGGG